GUCAAUGGCCUAACGGCUGAACUGGCAACUUGGAGAAGUGGCAAGUCUUCCAGUAUGGGGAGCAAAACAGCUAUGGGUCAAGUCCGAUAUCUUUAGGAGAAGUCUUAUUGUGAGGGCGAGUUAUAUAACACCAUAGGACUGGCCGUCCCAUAUGAAAAGAUAUAUUAGAAUUGAAUGAAGCUUUGUUUAUAUAUUGAUAAUGACAGUAUAUAUAUCGUGUCUUGACUAAUUGCGUGCCAGCAGUCGCGGUAAUACGUAAGAGACUAGUGUUAUUCAUCUUAAUUAGGUUUAAAGGGUACCCAGACGGUCAAUAUAGCUUAUAAAAUGUUAGUACUUGACUAGAGUUUUAUGUAAGAGGGCAGUACUUGAGGAGGAGAGAUGAAAUUUCGUGAUACCAAAGGGACUCUGUAAAGGCGAAGGCAGCCCUCUAUGUAAAAACUGACGUUGAAGGACGAAGGCACAGAGAACAAACAGGAUUAGAUACCCAAGUAGUCUUUGCAGUAAAUGAUGAAUGCCAUAGGUUAGAUUAAUCAAAUAUAGUCUAGGGUUAGUCUAGCAAACUAAUGACAUACUAUAAUAAAAAUAUCUGGUCUAUAAAUGAAAGUGUAAGCAUUUCACCUCAAGAGUAAUGUGGCAACGCAGGAACUGAAAUCACUAGACCGUUUCUGACACCAGU
rnacentral:rRNA from 1 species